AGAUGCGAAAGUUCCCGAUCCUCCUAACGGGCAAAGAUGGAAAGCAGUUCAGCAUGAUAAAAAGGUUACGUGGUUAGCAUGUUGGAUCGAGAAUAUCCAGGGAAGUUACAAGUACGUUAUGUUAAAUCCAACAUCAAGGAUCAAGGGAGAAAAAGAUUGGCAGAAGUAUGAAACCGCGCGUAAAUUAAAGGGUUUAAUUGGU